rnacentral:rRNA from 1 species
GAUGAACGCUGGCGGCGUGCCUAAUACAUGCAAGUCGAGCGAACUCACGAGGAGUUUGCUCCUCUGACGUUAUCGCCGGACGGGUGAGUAACUUGUGGACAACCUACCUAUAAGAAUGUGAUAAUUAUGCGAAAUCGGAGCUACUACCGGAAAAUAUAUUGCACUGCAUGGUUCAAUCGUGAGAGUCGCUUUUGCUUUAACUAAUAGCUGGACCCGCGCCGCAUCAGCUAGUUGGUAAGGUAACGGCCUACCCAGGCUACGAUGCGUAGCCGACCUGAAGGGGAGGACGGCCACACGGUAAGUGAGACACAGUCCAGACUCCUAGAGGGAGCCACGGUCGAGAAUCUUACGCAAGGGAGGAGAGCGGGACGGAGCAACGCCGCGUAAGUGAUGAAGGAGUUCGGAUCGGAAAACUCUGUUAGUAGGAGAGAACAAAUGUGUUUUUAACUAUGAACAUCUUGACGGUACCUGGUCAGAAAGCCACGGCUAACUACGUG